UUUUGGAACCAUUCGAAACAACACAGCAAGUUAAAAUAAGGCUUUUGUCCGUACACAACUUGAAAAAGUGCGCACCGAUUCGGUGCUUUUUAU
rfam:Streptococcus cristatus ATCC 51100 contig00007, whole genome shotgun sequence.